rnacentral:tRNA from 2 species
GGCUGAGUGGCAGAGUGGUCAUGCAGCGGACUGCAAAUCCGUCCACGCCGGUUCGAUUCCGACCUCAGCCUCCA